GUUACGUCACUGACUUUGUUCUUUAACACAACAGCCACUCUCAACUGAUCUAUCUAGUGGGUUCGGUCAUGUUGUAGCUCUGACAAUUUAAACAUGAUUGGAAUAUGAACCAGCAACGUUCAGCGCAUAAUCAUAGCAUGAAGAGAUGCCAAACGAAAAAAAAAAAAAAAAAAGAGUGUAAAUGCAAGCAAAAGCUGUGGCAGCCAACCAUCAAUAUUGUCAGAAAAAGAUAUAAGCUAGAUGUAUAUGAUAUGGAAGCUGGGGAAAAACAACUGUUUGUUAGAGAGAGAGAUAUAUAAAUAGCGAUGUGAAAAUGAUUUUUGUUGCAAAGGAUGUGAAAACAGAAUGUUAAGCUCCUGCAAGAAAUUACUAUAAUUCCCUAUCCAAGGAAAAAGAAAUGGCCAAACUCUCAAAAUUCACAGAACAAAAAUUAGAAUAAGAAAUUCAUCAUAGUAAACAAAACCUGCUGUUAAUUUUUCAGAUGCAUCGAGGUGACUCUCUUUUUCUUAUGGUUGUUCACCCUUUCCUCCUUACUGUCAUCAUUCUCAACCAUUAACUCCAUUGAUCUGCAUUUCACUCAAACCAGCUUUUCUUUGCCUUCUCCUAGAGAAGCACAUGUACCAGUUCUAGAAUGAAGUAGAAAUAGUAUUUUAAGAAACUGAUAUUUUAAGUUUCUAUGACAAGCUAUAAGGAGAUCCCUUGAUUCACAUGAGCCAGGCAAGAGAGGAGUGCUUUCUUGUAAUCCCAGGGAUAUAAAGUUUGUCUUCCCCUCUUUCCCUCCAUGUUUCCUGGAUCUCCUUUUCCCUAAAUCCCUCAGUUUUCUCCUCCUUCCUUCCAUAUUUCGUGGGGUGUGUGUUUUUAAUGGGAGAAUAGGAAUGAAGGCUUUGAUUAUAAAAGAUAGUGAAAACACUGUUAAAAUCAACUUUGAAUAGUACUUCCUUCCACAAUCUUUCUGCAAUCCUGUGUUCUUUGUUUUUAUUUGCAAUUAUUG
rnacentral:lncRNA from 1 species